rnacentral:lncRNA from 1 species
GCCCUGCCUAUAGUGUCCACUCCACUCUGGUCCUGUUACUAACACCUUGAAGACUCCAUCUGUGGAUGCUCAGCCCCUUGGAUCCCUGAGUUUCGUCCCAGGAACUGAGCAGGCACCUGGGACCCCAAGCUGGAUAGCAGUGGUCUGUGACCAGCUCUGGCUUCUUUACUAGGGUACCAGGCCCCAAGUUCAGCCCCGUCCCUGGAACUGAGCCGUACCUGUGCUCUCCCACCCAGCCGCCACCCCAGAUGGACAACCUGACUUACCCAGACCGACCCGUCAGACAUGGGCUCCUCGGCUCCUGAGUGCUGCCGCCUUGGGAGAUUCCUGCCCUGGCCGUGUGCUAGGCCCCCAGGGUGCUACCUGCAGCUUCCAUCCACUUGACCUUCAGACAUGGUGGUGGCCCUGCCCCCUUGGUGACCUCCACUCAGGACCUGUAGGUGGUGUCCCAGGUGCAGAGUUCCAUGUUGCUGAGCACCUGCCCCUGGUCCGGGCCUUGAAGACACUGCAGCAGUGUGGACAGAGGGCUGCCCUGGCCACCAGCAGCUGACAGGCCGCUGGAGAGGACCGUCCCAGCAAGGUGUCCUGAGGAAAGGACCCUGGAACCAACAGGCAAGACCCCGUGUUCCUGCAUUCAGAGGGGAGUAGAGAGAACCAGUGUCCAUAUGCAGCUCCUCUGGCCAUCCAGGCUGAGGCUUGUACAAUAGAGAGGGCCUCUGGGGACAUGUAGGAAGAAAGCCAGGCGGCGGGUAGGGACGAGCAGAGAGGCCCUGUCGACACAACCGCUCCGCAGGGCUCUUGGUGCCCAUACUGCACACCGCUCAGCCACAUCAGGCAGCUGCCCACCAGGGACAGUCCUUGCUCGCUGUCAGCUGCC